rnacentral:misc_RNA from 1 species
GAUGAAGAACGCAGCGAAAUGCGAUACUUGGUGUGAAUUGCAGAAUCCCGUGAACCAUCGAGUCUUUGAACGCAAGUUGCGCCCGAAGCCAUUAGGCCGAGGGCACGCCUGCCUGGGCGUCACACGUCGUUGCCCCCCCAUCUACUCCUUCGGGAUUGCGGGGGGCGGAUGAUGGCCUCCCGUGCGCCUCGCCGCGCGGUUGGCAUAAAUGCCAAGUCCUCGGCGACGCACGCCACGACAAUCGGUGGUCGCGAAACCUCGGUUGCCCGUCGUGUGCGGUCGUCGCGCAUCGAGGGCUCGAAAAAAUUGCCGGGUUCCGGCUCGGCUUUCAACGCGACCCCAGGUCAGGCGGGGUUACCCGCUGAAUUUAAGCAUAUCAAUAAGCGGAGGA